CAGCAUGACUCUCAUCACCAUCCUCAUCUGGACGCUGGCCUGCUGCUGUUUUACAGGAUGCAGCGGUCAGGUGACUGUGACUCAGCCUCCAGUAGUGACACCUACUCCAGGAUCCACCGUCUCGCUCACCUGUAAGACCAGCCAAGCUGUUUACAGUAACUUUCUUUUGGGUGACUAUAUGCACUGGUAUCAACAGAAAUCUGGACAGCCUCCAAAGCUCCUAGUAAGCCUUGUGAGCACACGUGAAUCAGGAACAGCAGCUCGGUUUAGUGGCAGUGGAAGCAGCUCUGACUUCACUUUGACCAUCAGUGGAGUUCAGACUGAAGACGGAGCAGUUUAUUACUGUCAGAGUGUUCAUUGGAUAAACAGUGCUUGGGUGUUCACACAGUGA